GAAAUGCGAUACGUAGUACGAAACGCAAGUCGUGAAUCAUCGAAUCUUUGAACGCACAUUGCGCUGUGUGGCAUUCCACACAGCAUGCCUGUUUGAGCGUCCUUUCUCUCUCGCAUUGCGGUGAUGGGAGGCACUCUGGGAAGCGUCCUCUCGAAACGGAGCAGCCACGACUGUUAGUGUAGUCGCCGGCUUUUGAACGUCGACCUCAAAUCAGGUAGGAGUACCCGCUGAACUUAA
rnacentral:misc_RNA from 1 species